rnacentral:rRNA from 1 species
AGUGAACGCUGGCGGUAGGCCUAACACAUGCAAGUCGAACGGCAGCACAGGAGAGCUUGCUCUCUGGGUGGCGAGUGGCGGACGGGUGAGGAAUACAUCGGAAUCUACUCUGUCGUGGGGGAUAACGUAGGGAAACUUACGCUAAUACCGCAUACGACCUACGGGUGAAAGCAGGGGAUCUUCGGACCUUGCGCGAUUGAAUGAGCCGAUGUCGGAUUAGCUAGUUGGCGGGGUAAAGGCCCACCAAGGCGACGAUCCGUAGCUGGUCUGAGAGGAUGAUCAGCCACACUGGAACUGAGACACGGUCCAGACUCCUACGGGAGGCAGCGGUGGGGAAUAUUGGACAAUGGGCGCAAGCCUGAUCCAGCCAUACCGCGUGGGUGAAGAAGGCCUUCGGGUUGUAAAGCCCUUUUGUUGGGAAAGAAAUCCAGCUGGCUAAUACCCGGUUGGGAUGACGGUACCCAAAGAAUAAGCACCGGCUAACUUCGUGCCUGCCGCCGCGGUAA